GACGUAGGGGGCGAGCGUUGUCCGGAAUUAUUGGGCGUAAAGAGCUCGUAGGCGGUCUGUCGCGUCGGAUGUGAAAGCCCGGGGCUUAACCCCGGGUCUGCAUUCGAUACGGGCAGACUAGAGUGUGGUAGGGGAGAUCGGAAUUCCUGGUGUAGCGGUGAAAUGCGCAGAUAUCAGGAGGAACACCGGUGGCGAAGGCGGAUCUCUGGGCCAUUACUGACGCUGAGGAGCGAAAGCGUGGGGAGCGAACAGG
rnacentral:rRNA from 1 species